rnacentral:rRNA from 2 species
UCGAGCACGCGAAGAACUUACCUACUCUUGACAUCCAGAGAACUUAGCAGAGAUGCUUUGGUGCCUUCGGGAACUCUGAGACAGGUGCUGCAUGGCUGUCGUCAGCUCGUGUUGUGAAAUGUUGGGUUAAGUCCCGCAACGAGCGCAACCCUUAUCCUUUGUUGCCAGCGAUUCGGUCGGGAACUCAAAGGAGACUGCCAGUGAUAAACUGGAGGAAGGUGGGGAUGACGUCAAGUCAUCAUGGCCCUUACGAGUAGGGCUACACACGUGCUACAAUGGCAUAUACAAAGAGAAGCGACCUCGCGAGAGCAAGCGGACCUCAUAAAGUAUGUCGUAGUCCGGAUUGGAGUCUGCAACUCGACUCCAUGAAGUCGGAAUCGCUAGUAAUCGUGGAUCAGAAUGCCACGGUGAAACGUC